UACGUAGGUGGCAAGCGUUGUCCGGAAUUAUUGGGCGUAAAGCGCGUGUAGGCGGCCCAUUAAGUCUGAUGUGAAAGCCCGGGGCUCACCCCCGGAAGUGCAUUGGAAACUGAUGGACUCGAGUCCCGGAGAGGAGAGUGGAAUUCCUGGUGUAGCGGUGAAAUGCGUAGAUAUCAGGAGGAACACCGGUGGCGAAGGCGGCUCUCUGGACGGUGACUGACGCUGAGACGCGAAAGCGUGGGGAGCAAACAGG
rnacentral:rRNA from 1 species